rnacentral:tRNA from 1 species
AUAGCUCAGUGGUUAGAGCACUGGUCUUGUAAAUCAGCGGUCUUGCGUUCAAAUCUCAAU